CUUAACUGAAAAAUGUAAAGAUCUCUUCAAUAUCAGAAGGGAGCCAUGAAGAGGAGCUUGGAGUAGGCAAGGGAGAGGCUGAUAAAGCAGUAGAGAAGACCUGAUUCAUCAAGUAUCACAGUUAAUUCUGGUGAUUCUGACCUGGUUGGAAUGCGCAACACGGCAAGGCACUUCAAUCCGACACUCUUGUUAAUGUUUGACGUCAGGCAAAACGUCUUCAGCCACCGUAGGAUGGAGAGCCGCUGGUUGGCAUUUUUGACAGCGGUGUCUGUGUGGGUGUACCAGGAAAGGACGUUAGAAGUUAGGUCCCCAUGAUAUAAAAGCUUCUUACCAUCUUCACUGCACCCCGUCGAUAUCGAU
rnacentral:lncRNA from 13 species